GUCAGGGUGGCCGAGCGGUCUAAGGCGCCAGACUCAAGCGAAUAGCUUCUGGGGUUUCUGGUCCUCAAAUGAGGGCGUGGGUUCAAAUCCCACCUCUGACA
rfam:Schistocephalus solidus strain NST_G2 genome assembly, scaffold: SSLN_scaffold0000548